AAUAGAUACCCGGGUAGUCCACGCCGUAAACGAUGUCGACUUGGAGGUUGUUCCCUUGAGGAGUGGCUUCCGGAGCUAACGCGUUAAGUCGACCGCCUGGGGAGUACGGCCGCAAGGUUAAAACUCAAAUGAAUUGACGGGGGCCCGCACAAGCGGUGGAGCAUGUGGUUUAAUUCGAUGCAACGCGAAGAACCUUACCUACUCUUGACAUCCAGAGAACUUAGCAGAGAUGCUUUGGUGCCUUCGGGAACUCUGAGACAGGUGCUGCAUGGCUGUCGUCAGCUCGUGUUGUGAAAUGUUGGGUUAAGUCCCGCAACGAGCGCAACCCUUAUCCUUUGUUGCCAGCGGUUAGGCCGGGAACUCAAAGGAGACUGCCAGUGAUAAACUGGAGGAAGGUGGGGAUGACGUCAAGUCAUCAUGGCCCUUACGAGUAGGGCUACACACGUGCUACAAUGGCGCAUACAAAGAGAAGCGACCUCGCGAGAGCAAGCGGACCUCAUAAAGUGCGUCGUAGUCCGGA
rnacentral:rRNA from 1 species